AGCGGACGCUGGCGGCAUGCUUAACACAUGCAAGUCGCACGGGCAGCAAUGUCAGUGGCGGACGGGUGAGUAUCGCGUAGGAAUGUAUCCUGAGGGUGGGGGACAACCCUGGGAAACGUGGGGCUAAUACCGCAUAUGGACUGAGGUCCAAAGCCGUGAGGCGCCUUGGGAGCAGCCUGCGUCCGAUUAGGUAGUUGGUGGGGUAAAGGCCUACCAAGCCUGCGAUCGGAGCU
rnacentral:rRNA from 1 species